CAGUCGCCACGGUAAUACGUAGGUGGCAAGCGUUGUCCGGAAUUAUUGGGCGUAAAGGGCUCGCAGGCGGUUUCUUAAGUCUGAUGUGAAAGCCCCCGGCUCAACCGGGGAGGGUCAUUGGAAACUGGGAAACUUGAGUGCAGAAGAGGAGAGUGGAAUUCCACGUGUAGCGGUGAAAUGCGUAGAGAUGUGGAGGGACACCAGUGGCGAAGGCGACUCUCUGGUCUGUAACUGACGCUGAGGAGCGAAAGCGUGGGGAGCGAACAGGAUUAGAUACCCCUGUAGUCCCUGUCUCUUAUAA
rnacentral:rRNA from 1 species